AGUGAACGCUGGCGGUAGGCCUAACACAUGCAAGUCGAACGGCAGCACAGUAAGAGCUUGCCCUUACGGGUGGCGAGUGGCGGACGGGUGAGGAAUACAUCGGAAUCUACUUUUUCGUGGGGGAUAACGUAGGGAAACUUACGCUAAUACCGCAUACGACCUACGGGUGAAAGCAGGGGAUCUUCGGACCUUGCGCGAUUGAAUGAGCCGAUGUCGGAUUAGCUAGUUGGCGGGGUAAAGGCCCACCAAGGCGACGAUCCGUAGCUGGUCUGAGAGGAUGAUCAGCCACACUGGAACUGAGAGACGGUCCAGACUCCUACGGGAGGCAGCAGUGGGGAAUAUUGGACAAUGGGCGCAAGCCUGAUCCAGCCAUACCGCGUGGGUGAAGAAGGCCUUCGGGUUGUAAAGCCCUUUUGUUGGGAAAGAAAAGCAGCAGGUUAAUACCCCGCUGUUCUGACGGUACCCAAAGAAUAAGCACCGGCUAACUUCGUG
rnacentral:rRNA from 1 species